rnacentral:lncRNA from 1 species
UUAAGUGUUGUAUCUUAGUGGGCUAGUAUUUAAUGAAUUUGGCCUCAUGCAUGUAUUUGAUUGGUCUAAUCAUAUUUUUUGCCUAUGAUCUCGUGCAAGAGCCGUAUACUAAAUAAGAUACGGCACCACUCUCUUUCUUCAAUUAAUAUGGUGCCACAUCAGCAAUAUGCCUAUGAUACCGUGUCAAGAUACAAGCAUUAGGGAAGGCCUUAG